GAAGUUACAUGUCUACAAGAGUGCUUUCGAUAAAGCCUUACAAAGUGAGACAGGAAACCUGGACUUAUUCCUCCGCUUCCUUCUGGGCCUCUCACUGGAGUCCAAUCAGAAGCACUUACGAGGACUACUGACAAAGACAAGAAGCAGCUCACAGAGCCAUGAAGAUACAGUCAAGUACAUCAAGGAGAAGAUCAGGGAGAAUCCCUCUCCAGAGAGGUGCAUCAAUCUGUUCCACUGUCUGAAUGAACUGAAUGACCAUUCUCUAGUGGAGGAGAUCCAAAGCUACCUGAGAUCAGGAAGUCUUUCAGAAGACAACUUGUCACCUGCACAGUGGUCAGCUCUGGUCUUUGUGUUGCUGACUUCAGAAAAGGAACUGGAUGUGUUUGACCUGAAGAAAUACUCCAGAUAAGAGGAAGGUCUUCUGAGGCUGCUGCCAGUGGUCAAAGCCUCCAGAGCUGCUCUGCUGUCAGGCUGUGGAGUCACAGAGGAAGGCUGUGAUUCUCUGGUCUCAGCUCUGAGGUCAAACCUCUCACACCUAAGAGAGCUCGACCUGAGUAACAAUGACCUGAAGGAUUCAGGAGUGAAGCUGCUCUCUGCUGGACUGGAGAAUCCCCCACUGCUGGAGAAACUGGAGACUCUGAAGUCAGUAUUCCUGUAGUUGGUCAACAAGUGAUAACUGUUCACCAGAUCCACAUGUGUUUACCAGACACACAUAGUCCACACCAUAUGUGUUUGGACAGUGAAGCUUACAGUUUUUCAUUUGGUGCUAUGCUCCAGCAUUUUAGAUUUGAGAUAGAAUGUUUCACAUUAGGUGAAUAUACAGAAUGUCAUCUUUUAUUUGAGGUUAAUGGUGAGAGGUUAGCAUGUUUUGUUGUAUCCUCUGUUAUUGGUAAUGGUGAGAGGUUAGCAUGUUUUGUUGUAUCCUCUGUUAUUGGUAAUGGUGAGAGGUUAGCAUGUUUUGUUGUAUCC